UUCUUAUACCCUUUUUGCCAAAAAUUCUUGAUUCUUGCUUCUGAUUUGUUAUGGGUGAUGGUUGGGCUUUGUUUAAGAGUGUAUGGGCAAUCUUGUACAAGGCAAUUAAAUGUAAUAUUUCAUCACUAGAUUUAAUUCUUAUAAUUUACCAAUUAACUUCUAUCCUUUGGUAAAUUAAAACACUUAUACAAUAACAUCGAAAUUAAACCCGGUAAUUAAAAUUAGGGUUUCU
rnacentral:lncRNA from 1 species